AGCUGCUGCAGCGAGGCAGGCAGCCCCGGGCACCAUCACAGGUGCCAACUGUGUUACAGGCUAGGCCAGAUCACAAGCAGCUUCUGCUGUGGGCACCAGUGUCUGGACGAGGGGAACGCAGUAGCACCUGGAAACUAGGAGACAUCAGGAACCUCAGAGCCACAAAGAGGGUGUUAAAGCAUGUCACAGCCCUGGCGUGGGGAGCCGUGAGGUCUGGGCUCCCAGAAGGGCUGCAGCUCUUCUCUGCUUCUCAUCACCUGCAGUGCAGUGAGUGGGGGAGAGGCUGAAAUAAGAAUGGAUCCUACUUAGAUACAUCUAUAAAAAAAUGGUCACCCUGCUCUUGGAGUUCAGCAGUGGGCAGAUCAGUGAGCUUGGAAGGUGUCUCCACAGUUAUUCUUCUCCACAAACACAGUGAGUGUCCAAAACAUUCAUAUCUCUGUACUGUUUCUAGGCACUCUUCUGAAGCUAGAGCCACC
rnacentral:lncRNA from 1 species